GACGAACGCUGGCGGCGUGCUUAACACAUGCCAGUCGAACGGAAAGGCCCUGCGUUUGUUGGGUGCUCGAGUGGCGAACGGGUGAGUAAAACGUGAGUAACCUGCCCUUGACUUUGGGAUAACUUCAGGAAACUGGGGAUAAUACCGGAGAGGAGCUCCUGCUGCAUGGUGGGGGUUGGAAAGUUUCGGCGGUUGGGGAUGGACUCGCGGCUUAUCAGCUUGUUGGUGGGGUAGUGGCAUACCAAGGCUUUGACGGGUAGCCGGCCUGAGAGGGUGACCAGCCACAUUGGGACUGAGAGACGGCCCAGACUCCUACGGGAGGCAGCAGUGGGGAAUAUUGCACAAUGGGCGGAAGCCUGAUGCAGCAACGCCGCGUGCGGGAUGACGGCCUUCGGGUUGUAAACCGCUUUCGCCUGUGACGAAGCGUGAGUGACGGUAAUGGGUAAAGAAGCACCGGCUAACUACGUG
rnacentral:rRNA from 1 species